rnacentral:rRNA from 1 species
UACGGGGGGGGCAAGCGUUGUUCGGAAUUACUGGGCGUAAAGGGUUCGUAGGUGGCUCGCUAAGUCAGACGUGAAAUCCCUCAGCUUAACUGGGGAACUGCGUCUGAGACUGGCAAGCUCGAGUGCAGGAGAGGAACGCGGAAUUCCAGGUGUAGCGGUGAAAUGCGUAGAUAUCAGGAGGAACACCGGUGGCGAAGGCGGGUCUCUGGGCCGAUACUGACGCUGAGGAGCGAAAGCGUGGGGAGCGAACAGG